rnacentral:rRNA from 1 species
CCCUUAGAUGUUCUGGGCCGCACGCGCGCUACACUGUUCGACGCAGCGAGUCUUAACCUUGACCGAAAGGUUUGGGUAAUCUUCAGCAAAGUCGAACGUGAUGGGGAUCGAUCAUUGCAAUUAUUGAUCGUGAACGAGGAAUUCCUAGUAAGUGCAAGUCAUCAGCUUGCGCUGAUUACGUCCCUGCCCUUUGUACACACCGCCCGUCGCUACUACCGAUUGAAUGAUCCGGUGAGGCUCUGGGACCUGGACGGAAAGAGCGUUUCGCUUGUUCUGUUUGGGAAACUUGGUCGAACCUUAUCAUUUAGAGGAAGGAGAAGUCGUAACA